rnacentral:rRNA from 1 species
UAGGGGAGCCGGAGGGAAACCGAGUCUUAAUUGGGCGUUAAGUUGCAGGGUAUAGACCCGAAACCCGGUGAUCUAGCCAUGGGCAGGUUGAAGGUUGGGUAACACUAACUGGAGGACCGAACCGACUAAUGUUGAAAAAUUAGCGGAUGACCUGUGGCUGGGGGUGAAAGGCCAAUCAAACCGGGAGAUAGCUGGUUCUCCCCGAAAGCUAUUUAGGUAGCGCCUCGUGAAUUCAUCUCCGGGGGUAGAGCACUGUUUCGGCUAGGGGGCCAUCCCGGCUUACCAACCCGAUGCAAACUGCGAAUACCGGAGAAUGUUAUCACGGGAGACACACGGCGGGUGCUAACGUCCGUCGUGAAGAGGGAAACAACCCAGACCGCCAGCUAAGGUCCCAAAGUCAUGGUUAAGUGGGAAACGAUGUGGGAAGGCCCAGACAGCCAGGAUGUUGGCUUAGAAGCAGCCAUCAUUUAAAGAAAGCGUAAUAGCUCACUGGUCGAGUCGGCCUGCGCGGAAGAUGUAACGGGGCUAAACCAUGCACCGAAGCUGCGGCAGCGACACUGUGUGUUGUUGGGUAGGGGAGCGUUCUGUAAGCCUGUGAAGGUGUGUCGUGAGGCAUGCUGGAGGUAUCAGAAGUGCGAAUGCUGACAUAAGUAACGAUAAAGCGGGUGAAAAGCCCGCUCGCCGGAAGACCAAGGGUUCCUGUCCAACGUUAAUCGGGGCAGGGUGAGUCGACCCCUAAGGCGAGGCCGAAAGGCGUAGUCGAUGGGAAACGGGUUAAUAUUCCCGUACUUGGUGUUACUGCGAAGGGGGGACGGAGAAGGCUAUGUUGGCCGGGCGACGGUUGUCCCGGUUUAAGCGUGUAGGUGUGUGUUCCAGGUAAAUCCGGUUCACUUUAACACUGAGGCGUGACGACGAGGCACUACGGUGCUGAAGCAACAAAUGCCCUGCUUCCAGGAAAAGCCUCUAAGCAUCAGGUAACAUCAAAUCGUACCCCAAACCGACACAGGUGGUCAGGUAGAGAAUACCAAGGCGCUUGAGAGAACUCGGGUGAAGGAACUAGGCAAAAUGGUGCCGUAACUUCGGGAGAAGGCACGCUGACACGUAGGUGAAGUGAUUUACUCAUGGAGCUGAAGUCAGUCGAAGAUACCAGCUGGCUGCAACUGUUUAUUAAAAACACAGCACUGUGCAAACACGAAAGUGGACGUAUACGGUGUGACGCCUGCCCGGUGCCGGAAGGUUAAUUGAUGGGGUCAGCGCAAGCGAAGCUCCUGAUCGAAGCCCCGGUAAACGGCGGCCGUAACUAUAACGGUCCUAAGGUAGCGAAAUUCCUUGUCGGGUAAGUUCCGACCUGCACGAAUGGCGUAAUGAUGGCCAGGCUGUCUCCACCCGAGACUCAGUGAAAUUGAACUCGCUGUGAAGAUGCAGUGUACCCGCGGCAAGACGGAAAGACCCCGUGAACCUUUACUAUAGCUUGACACUGAACAUUGAGCCUUGAUGUGUAGGAUAGGUGGGAGGCUUUGAAGUGUGGACGCCAGUCUGCAUGGAGCCGACCUUGAAAUACCACCCUUUAAUGUUUGAUGUUCUAACGUGGACCCGUUACCCGGGUUGCGGACAGUGUCUGGUGGGUAGUUUGACUGGGGCGGUCUCCUCC